UACAGAGGUGGCAAGCGUUGUUCGGAAUUACUGGGCGUAAAGCGUGCGCAGGCGGUUUUAUAAGCCAGAUGUGAAAUCCCCGGGCUUAACCUGGGAACUGCAUUUGUGACUGUAAGACUAGAGUGCGGCAGAGGGGGGUAGAAUUCCACGUGUAGCAGUGAAAUGCGUAGAUAUGUGGAGGAAUACCGAUGGCGAAGGCAGCCCCCUGGGUCGACACUGACGCUCAUGCACGAAAGCGUGGGGAGCAAACAGG
rnacentral:rRNA from 1 species